CCUGCCCCUAGAGAUGUUUCAGUUAUGACUGCUGUGUCACACGUGCAUCGGUAGGUGGCAGAGAGGAGAGAGGAAAUGGCUAUGUUCGGUGUUCUAGCCUAACAUU
rnacentral:snoRNA from 1 species